rnacentral:lncRNA from 1 species
UGUAGAUCUUUAAUGUUAUCAAGAAUAAGCGAUCUUUAUCAUAUUGACAGUUAUAUAUGCAUAUUUCAAAAAAUAAUUGGGAUAUUUUUAUACAAAAUUUAAAGAAAACAUUUACAAAUAUAAUGUUAAAAAACAUUAUGAUUUAUAUCUCAAAAAUAAGUUUAUAUAUAGAGGCCAAAAUGGGAUAUGAAAAAGUUUGUAUCUCAAAGUUUGUAUAUAGAGCAGUUUGUAAAUCAAGGCACUACUGUUUAGCAAUCUGUGAUGAUUAUGAUUGACAAUUUGUGCAUUUUGUGGUGGUUCUGAUCAUUUAGAAAUUAUGUAAUGAUUAUUUUGCAGCUGAUUUCAGACAGAUUUGCACAUCUGAUGAUUGCUUGCAUCUGGUUGGCUUUCCACUCUUGUCAAUUCCAGCAAAAUUUCCAUUGUCUAUUUUGAUUCUAAUUUUAUCAUCAUUUAAACUUUAUUAAAUAUUUUUCAUUAAGACUUUGAAAUAAUAGAAAGUUAAAAUAUUUUUAUUUGAUAUUUUCUGUUGAACAAACAUUUCUAUAAAAUUGUAUUGUAGAGAAAUAUGAUACAACAUGAAAUGAUGAUCAUAUUCUAACUUAUAAAUAAAGGCACUCACAGAGGUAUAACAAGGACUUUAAUAUAGAGGUGAACAGGCAUUUUUGGUGCAGUGCACCGUCAUCAGGUUCUGAUGGUGGCAAAUUGCGCCAAAAAUGUUUGUUCGUUUCUGUAUUGAAGUUUUUCUUGUGCUGCUGUGAGUGCUUUUAUUUAUAGUAGAAAUUAAAAUAAGGUGGAUAGUAGUAAUUAAAGUAAAGCAAGAUCACAUCUAUUCUCCAUUCAGUAUUUUUUUUU